ACGAACGCUGGCGGCGUGCCUAAUACCUGCAAGUAGAACGCUGAAGAGAGGAGCUUGCUCUUCUUGGAUGAGUUGCGAACGGGUGAGUAACGCGUAGGUAACCUGCCUUGUAGCGGGGGAUAACUAUUGGAAACGAUAGCUAAUACCGCAUAACAAUGGAUGACACAUGUCAUUUAUUUGAAAGGGGCAAUUGCUCCACUACAAGAUGGACCUGCGUUGUAUUAGCUAGUAGGUGAGGUAAUGGCUCACCUAGGCGACGAUACAUAGCCGACCUGAGAGGGUGAUCGGCCACACUGGGACUGAGACACGGCCCAGACUCCUACGGGAGGCAGCAGUAGGGAAUCUUCGGCAAUGGGGGCAACCCUGACCGAGCAACGCCGCGUGAGUGAAGAAGGGUUUCGGAUCGUAAAGCUCUGUUGUAAGUCAAGAACGGGUGUGAGAGUGGAAAGUUCACACUGUGACGGUAGCUGACCAGAAAGGGACGGCUAACUACGUG
rnacentral:rRNA from 1 species